UACGUAGGGCGCAAGCGUUGUCCGGAAUUAUUGGGCGUAAAGAGCUCGUAGGCGGUCUGUCGCGUCGGCUGUGAAAACCUGGGGCUCAACCCCGGGCUUGCAGCCGAUACGGGCAGACUAGAAUUCGGUAGGGGAGACUGGAAUUCCUGGUGUAGCGGUGAAAUGCGCAGAUAUCAGGAGGAACACCAGUGGCGAAGGCGGCUACCUGGACCAGCACUGACACUGAGGCACGAAAGCGUGGGGAGCAAACAGG
rnacentral:rRNA from 1 species